CCUUAUUGCGCCUCCCUCCCUUACCAAAGCUCUCCCUCUCACUCUCAACAUACACUCAAACACUUUCUGACUUACCGCCGAUCACUGCCUCCUUCACCCACCUCACCACCGUUCUCCAUGCGCCCUUGUUCACGCAAAAAAUAUAUGUUCAGUACUUCUCCUCCAGGAACUUUCUAUUAUCAUUGGCUCACUAUUUUUUUGUCUUUAUUUUUUAUUUUUUUCUUUUAAAUCUAUAGGCUAAAGUAGAAAAUCUUAUAAAUAAGGAGCACCAGUUAGACGAGCAAAUAAGGUUUCAGUGUCCUCUGCUGAUUCUACUAAACCCUAAACAUUUGUCAUACUUGUCUGCUAUCUUUUUAACUAAUGCUUAAUCUUUAUUACAAUGAGAUGCGAGAAAGAUUAAAAGGUCUUAGUGAAGAUGAAAACACUCAAAGGUCAGAGAGCAUUUAAAAAUAAUCACCAUAUGACUGAUGAGGUGGUCCUGGAUGAUAAAAUUAACAGUGUUGUGCGAGUUCUUUCUGGUGGCAUGAAGAGGAAAUUGUCUCUUGGAGUUGCAUUAAUAGGGAACAAUAAAGUAGUAUGCAUAUAAAAAACACUUGCUCUAUUUUUGUAUUCAUAUAUUGACAAAAAAUUGGAAUCCCUUGGUCUUACCUGGCAUGUUAUAAUUCUUGAUGAACCUCCCAGCGGAAUGGAUCCAUACUCAAUGCGUUUGACUUCAUAGUUAAUACAAAAAUUUAAGAAGGGAAGGAUAAUCUUACUAACAACUCAUUCAAUGGAUGAAUUAGAUGAACUAGAUAAUCGGAUAGCUAUCAUGGCCAAUGGUUUUCUGAAAUGCCGAGGAAGGUUUAAUUUACUUCUCACUUUCUCCAAUUACACCGUCCAUUUGAAAGCUAGUGAUUGAAAUGGAACAUGAGGAUCAAUGACAAAAUUUAUAUAUGCAGAUUAAGUUGUGUAUAUAUGUAUAUAUUUUAUUAUAUGCCUUUAUCCACUUUGUACUUUCCUUUCUCAACUAGGUUAAUUUCUUUUUCUACUAUCCUCUCAUGGUGCGCAUACGCGUGCAUGUGCACCGACACCCAUGUGUGUGCACUGUUUGCCUAUUUUAAAUUUCAUAUUAGGCAACUCAUUAAAUUUUAUGAGCAGUUACUUUCUAAAUUUCCAGUUUUUUUGUUAUUUUCCUAUGAUGACUUGAUUUCUAGUGGCAAAAUUGGUGGAAAUUUAGUUUUAACUUUUGAAUGCACAUCUAGGUAUCAUGAUUGUAUUAUGCAUUUUUUUCUCCUCUUAUUUAUAGUUUUUUUUAUAGCUUACUUUCUUGAAGCAUCAUUAUGGAGUUGGUUAUAGUCUAACUCUUGUAAAGGUUUGUUCUAUCCCGAUAACUUCCUCUUCAAUUCAUUCAGGUGCUGAUGUUUCAUGGUGAAAAUGCUCUAUUUAUUCAUGUAUUUUCAGUUUUUCAUUUUUCUUUAAUUCUUGUCCUUUCAGUAAGCUCCUGUUGCUUCUAUAACUAGUGAUAUAGUAUAUCAUCAUGUUCCCUCAGCAACAUGUGUAAGCGAGGUGGAACUAAGAUUUUCUUUAGGCUUCCCCUAGCAUCUUCAUAAGCUUUUGAGGGGGUGUUUUAGGAAAAUUGAAGGUUGCAUGAAAAAACCACUUUUGAACAUGGAAAUAAGCGAUAACAGGGCUGCUAUGGUGGCUAGAGUAGUCGCGCGGUGAAAGCUGUUCACAACAGAAUGGAUGGACAAUUUUGUGAUACUAAUAUCUAAGAAUUAGGUUAUUAGCUUUUUGUGAUGGAAUUGUAAAUUUUCCUUUUACUAAUUCUGAGUACUUAUUUCUUAAGGUGUCACCUCGAAUAGCAAAAGCUUGCUGGAAGUUGAUCAUAGUCAUGGCUUUUCUUUUCUUCUUUUUCAAAUGUUUGUAACAUGUACAUACCAUGUAAAUCAAAUCAAUGAAAAAUGAAUCUUUUAACA